GAUGGGCAGGACCUCUUGAUGCUCUCAGUGGUGGUGACAGAGGAGGCCACCAUGCUGAAGGUUACCACCAGGAUACCCAGGAGAACCUGGGCCAGCCCCAGCGUGAGAAGGGCCUGCAGCCAGGGUCGAUGGAGGCGGAGUUUUCGGCAGACACAACAUCUUUGUUUCUAUGUGGUGCUGAGGAUCGAACCCGGGCCGCACGCAUGCCAGGCGAGCGCACUACCGCUUGAGCCACAUCCCCAGCCCGGUACCCUCCACUCUUUAUAAGACUUAAUUCCCAUUAAAAUUUCAGGAAACAGGUGA